UACGGAGGGUGCAAGCGUUAUCCGGAUUUACGUUGGUUAAAGGGUGCGUAGGUGGGUUGGUAAGUCAGUGGUGAAAUACUUUCGCUUAACGAAGGAACUGCCAUUGAUACUACCAGUCUUGAAUACAGUGGAGGUAGGCGGAAUGCGUCAUGUAGCGGUGAAAAUGCUUAGAUAUGACGCAGAACACCAAUUGCGAAGGCAGCUUGCUACACUGUUAUUGACACUGAGGCACGAAAAGCGUGGGGAUCAAACAGG
rnacentral:rRNA from 1 species